AUUGAACGCUAGCGGGAUGCUUUACACAUGCAAGUCGAACGAGUGGCGGACGGGUGAGUAAUAUAUCGGAACGUGCCCCGUAGCGGGGUCUCACUACUCUAAAGAGUGGCUAAUACCGCAUACUAUUGUAACGGGCGAUAUCGGAUUAGCUAGUUGGGGGGGUAAAGGCUCACAAGGGCAACGAUCCGCAGCUGGUUUGAGAGGACUAACGGCAACACUGGGACUGAGAAACGGCCAAGACUCCGACGGGAGGGAGCAGUGGGGAAUUUUGGACAAUGGGGGAAACCCUGAUACAGCCAUCCCGCGUGUAUGAGAAGGCCUUCGGGUUGUAAAGUACUUUUGGCAGAGAAGCGGUAUCUGAAGAAUAAGCACCGGCUAACUACGUGCCAGCCGCCGCGGUAAUUC
rnacentral:rRNA from 1 species